AGAGUUUGAUCCUGGCUCAGAUUGAACGCUGGCGGCAUGCCUUACACAUGCAAGUCGAACGGCAGCACGGGGGGUAACCCCUGGUGGCGAGUGGCGAACGGGUGAGUAAUAUAUCGGAACGUGUCCUGUAGCGGGGGAUAACCUAUCGAAAGAUGGACUAAUACCGCAUACGACCUAUGGGUGAAAGCGGAGGACCGCAAGGCUUCGCACUAUAGGAGCGGCCGAUAUCGGAUUAGCUAGUUGGUGGGGUAACGGCCUACCAAGGCGACGAUCCGUAGCUGGUCUGAGAGGACGAUCAGCCACACUGGAACUGAGACACGGUCCAGACUCCUACGGGAGGCAGCAGUGGGGAAUUUUGGACAAUGGGCGCAAGCCUGAUCCAGCCAUGCCGCGUGAGUGAAGAAGGCCUUCGGG
rnacentral:rRNA from 1 species